rnacentral:rRNA from 1 species
CUGCAUGGGCGCAGCCUGAUGCAGCGACGCCGCGUGAGGGAUGACGGCCUUCGGGUUGUAAACCUCUUUCAGUAGGGAAGAAGCGAAAGUGACGGUACCUGCAGAAGAAGCGCCGGCUAACUACGUGCCAGCAGCCGCGGUAAUACGUAGGGCGCAAGCGUUAUCCGGAAUUAUUGGGCGUAAAGAGCUCGUAGGCGGUUUGUCGCGUCUGCCGUGAAAGUCCGGGGCUCAACUCCGGAUCUGCGGUGGGUACGGGCAGACUAGAGUGAUGUAGGGGAGACUGGAAUUCCUGGUGUAGCGGUGAAAUGCGCAAAUAUCAGGAGGAACACCGAUGGCGAAGGCAGGUCUCUGGGCAUUAACUGACGCUGAGGAGCGAAAGCAUGGGGAGCGAACAGGAUUAGAUACCCUGGUAGUCCAUGCCGUAAACGUUGGGCACUAGGUGUGGGGGACAUUCCACGUUUUCCGCGCCGUAGCUAACGCAUUAAGUGCCCCGCCUGGGGAGUACGGCCGCAAGGCUAAAACUCAAAUGAAAUUGACGG